CGGGCUUGGUGGCGCAAGCCUGUGACCCAAGUGGGGGCACCAAGGUGACUGGACGUGGGCCGAGCUCAGAAGGCUGGGUCUGGGUUAGCAAAUUGCUGGUCCGCCCGUUCCAAGUGGAGAGUUGAGGCAUAUGACCCAUUCGAAAGCUUAGGCCUUGUGGUUCCUAGAGCGGAGGGCAAUGCGUGAGGCUGGUUUCACAGAGCAGCGAAAACCUCCCGCUCUCUGCGGUGGAAGGAUUACGGACCGGUGCUUCUCAGACCCUUUAACACCCAAUGAGCUGGUCACAUCGAACGGUUCCAUCUUUUUUAUAUGCUGGUUUGGUAAAGCUUUCCAUCUACCCAGUAAAUAAGAAAAGACGAGAGGAUUUCGCUAUUUUUUCUUUAUGUUGGAAUAUUUGUGAUUACAAGUUCUUGAUAAGCGUAUUGGUUUUGCAUUGCAGGCGACAAAAUUGUCCGGACAACGCUCAAACACAAGCUAUUUGGGCUUGAAGGGACAUGAUGAAAACCCGUGAAUCAAGUUAGGUAGAGCGAGCUCGGGUGGAAUUGGGACAUAGCUUGUCUUUGGAUGAAGUUACGUAGUAAAACGACCAGUUUCUAUGUUGUGGGCUCUUUCAAUUCUGUUGAGUUUGGGAAGUAGUUAUAUACUGCAUCUUCUUGUACAAUCAAAGUUGUGGGCUCCGUUGUGUCCGAUGCAGUUGUUUCUGAUAGUAAGCGUUGCAAUAUUUUGGGAAACAAGCAGUUAUGAAUGACUGAAUUCGGUCAUGUUCUUGGUUUAAUGGCUGAGAUGUUUACGUUUAGCACGACUAACUUCCGUUUGGAAAGGGCUUAGCAGCAGCAGCAGCUUGAUCAGGGUCCUGAGAGAAAGCGCAGUCCCACAUCGGUAGAUUUAGAGAAGAUUCAAUAAUUUAUAAAGACAUGAAAGUGGGAGACUUAUCGCUGGGCUUGGUAGCGCAAGCCUGUAACCCAAGUGGGGGCAUCAGGGUGACUGGACAUGGGCUGAGCCCAGAAGGUUGGGCCUUUGGUUGCUAAUUCUGGCCCGCCCGCUCCAAGUGGAGAGUUGGGCCAUGCGAUCCAUUCGAAAGUUUGGGCCUCGUGGUUCCUAGAGCGGAGGGCAAUGCGUCAGGCUGGCUUCACAGAGCAGCGAAAACCUCCCGCUCUCUACGGUGGAAGGACUACGGGUCGGUGCUUCCCAGGCUCUGUAACGCCCAAUGGGCUGGUCUCAUCGAACGGUCACCUUUUUUUUAAUUUUAAAUUGGGAAAAAGAUACUGCUUCCCCC
rnacentral:lncRNA from 1 species